rnacentral:lncRNA from 1 species
GCGGCGCCGCGGGAAACCCAGCCUCCGGCGGCGCCCACGCUGCCCCUCCGCCGGGAACAAACGCCUUCCAAUCGAAAGACCGUCUCCCGGGUACCCCUAAAGGUGUGUACUGCUACUGCCAGGAGGCCUAGAUCCUUUGACCGCCCAAACCAUCCGCUACUGUGUUACAGUGAAGUCCAUCUACAUCAUCCCGCUUAGCAAAUAGGGUGCUGGCACUUUGAAACACGUUAGGUCCGGUGUUUCGCCAGAGGAGUACUAAGAAGGAGCUGCGAUCCCCUUGUUCUCCACGUUGAGGCAGUGGGAUGGUGUUCCUGGCACACCUGUAAGCCACCGGGCACAGGCUUCUCCCCCUGGAAAGUUCUGCCACUUUGCCAGAGCAGACUGUUGAAUAAUUGCAAUAAAAGCAUGGAGAAAAAGCCAGAUGGAAGAAUUGUUUUAAAACAAGUAACCCACCAGUGGAUGAGAAGACACUACAACUUCAGUUAAUUCUAGCAACCUACACCACAGCUCUCAGCAACGCUGGAUCCUUAACCCACUGAGUGAGGCCAGGGAUCGAACCCGCAAUCUCAUGGUUCCUAGUCGGAUUUGUUAACCAUUGUGCCACGACGGGAACUCCUAAAAUGGGUGAUUUUUUAAAAGUGCACUUUCGAAAAUUGAAGGGAAGAAAACCCCUCGUUUCAGUUAUUCAGCCAUCCUCUUCAGAGCCGAGCCACCGUGCAGUUUUAUUUUCUACUCUGACCACACUCUCGUGAACUUGCAAGACAAAGUUUUCAAUGUUCUAAUAAAAAAUGUCAUUUCCCUUUUCUUCUCCUUCCCUUUCCUUUCACCUCUUUUUUUUUUUUUUUUCUGUAAGGUUCACCAAACCCAGCAUUUCAUGACGAUAAUAAUAGCUCAAAAUUAUUGAGUGCCCACUAUUUCCCAGAGACUAAGUUUUUUAUGUGUGUUAAUUCUUUUCAUCCUUAAAAUGGCGAUGUUUCUCAAGAAGAGGUGUUAUGGUCCUUUAUGCAGUAGCACAUAUUAUUCUUGCAAACCAUUGAGUAUGUCUUUUAUAGCAAUACAUGUUUUAAGGAGUUAUCUUCAUAGUUUGAAUAAAUCCCUAUAAGAAAGAAUGCUUAUCUAGUCAUCCCCAAUACACACACACAGGUACACGAAUCCCUGCUAUGUGCUCAGUCUAGAGCUCUUUACACUAGCAUGAGUCUCCAGGAACAGGGGCCCCACAGUUCCUGAGUUCACAGCUUUGGAUUCAUGUACACACAAAGACUGCCUACUUGUCUUUGAAUCACAGUUUCAAGUUCCUGGAAGAAUCAAGUGUCCAUUAAUGAUUCACUCAGCUAUAUCCAGGAGGAAGCAUCUUAUCGGGUGAAAGGAGAAGGAGGAGGAGGGGGAGGAGGGAAUGGAGGUGGAGGGUAGAUGAGGAGGAAGAAGAAAGGGAGAAGAAUAAAAUAUAUCAUAAGACUCGUCAGUUUUUGCUCUUAGUAAGAAUGUCCCUGAUAAAAGGAAGCAAUUUUCUAUCAGUGUUGAGUGGGAUUUGAAGAAAUUAGGACAUACAGAGAACAGCAGAGGCCAGACGAAGGACAAGGAAAGACAGCUUAUAGAGAAUUCCUUCAUUUUUCUUGUCUAAGGGUCUGAGCAAGUGCCUUAGUAAUGAACAUGGGAAAUGUAUGAGUUAUUUAUACUUAUUUGUUUAACUGCACAGCACCCUUGGUUUUCUCUGUAGUGUGAGUUGAAUCAUUCUCACUCAAUUUCUCAUAAUUUGAGUCAUAGAAAUCUUCCUAAUAUCAUUAUAAAGUUAUAUUGGAAUAGAGACUUCCAUCAGAAAUUUUAAUUAAGAUGCUUAUACGUAGGGCAGAUCACGUAAGUAGCAAAAUUUAUAGAAUACUGCAAUAAUAAGACUUUGCUGUCUGCACGUAUUCUGCCAUUACAAUUAUUAUUUCUAAGAUGUUAUUUCUAGAAGAAAAGAAAUGAAGGAGACUAUAAAGACAAAACAAAAAUAGAAGUGCAGUACUCAGUGCCUGAAUAUGUCUUUUGAAGUCUCUUCACAUGAUUUCAUAGAGUAAUUUGUGCUAUAACUAAAUUUUAGUUGUAAGCUUUUUAUGAGCCCUUCUCUUCCAGACAUAUUCCAUCUUUCUCCCCACUUUAUUGAAGAACACCAUGGUUUUUUUCUUUGUUAACAUGAAGAAUCAUAGAUUUUCUUCCAGGAAGCUUGCUAAUUAAUAUCUGUACCAUCCCCUAUGGAUGUUAACACACAGAGUGAAAGAAA